rnacentral:lncRNA from 1 species
UUUUCGGCAUGCCCGUACGUGACCUGACCCGCAAGCCAAAGGAUCCGCAUGUUUUCGGAGAUUGGGCUAUUUACGCCCCUGACCCUUCCGUUUUUCUGGAUUUUCAUUCUAAUCCCAUUUUUCUUUUUAUUUUUCUUUAAAUUCGCCUCUUUAAUUUUAUUUUAUUUGUAAUUUAACCCAGGGCCUGGCCAAAACGCAACUCAUAAGGACUAGGGAUAUUGACCCUUUUAGUCCUUGCUAAUUUCAGCGCAAUAUAUUCUGGCCCUUGUCUGUUUUUACUUAUUUACAAUUCAUACCUUGUAAGCUUAUGUUGAUAUCAAUUAAGUCAUUUCUGUUUGUUUAUUUAUUCGUUCAUUCAUUUAUGUCUUUAUACGUAUGUAUAUCCAUUAUUCUCUUGUUUUACAUAUCUAUUUAUUUAUUUAUUUAUUUAUUCAUUAAUGUAUAUUAUUCGUUUUUAUUAUUGGAAUCAUUUCAUAAUUCCUUUAUUUCUUUUCAAUUUUCAUUUGCUUUUGUUAUUACUAUUUUAUUACCUAUUAUUAUUUUAUUAUUUAUGUAUUCAUCAUUCGUUCUGUAGAGCCCAAUUUUGGCCCGGGCCCAAGUUAACAAAAAAAAACCAAAAGCAAAAUAAAUAAAAAGUCCAAGUUUUUAACAGCCCAAACAACCCAAAAUUUUAUGAGCCCAUGACCCCCCAAAAAAUUAGCAGAAACAAAAAAAAAACCCUAGCAGCAGUAGGUGCCGUUCGCCCCACGUGCCUCCAGCACACAGCCCGUGCCUGGCCCCGAUGCCUGACCACCAAAGCAGCAACCUUUGCCCCGUCCCAUCGCCCGUAUCACCUCUACCUGCAAGAUGGAAAAGAAACACGUAAAGCAGAAAAGAAGCAGCAGACAACACAAAACAGUAGCAAAAUGUUGUAUUUCAUUCGGCUAUAAAGCCAACAAAAAACGAAUGUAACGGGGGGGGGAUUUUUUGGAAAUAAAAAAGAAAAAGAAAAGAUCAAAUCGGAGGUAGAUUGGAAUACAAAGAAAAAUCAAACAAAUUUAGUAGAAGGUUGCGUUUAUUUUUAUCUGGCUUUCGUUUGAUUUCAAAGGGGGGAAUUUACUUUGUGAUUGCAAAAAGUAUAAACAAGGGAAUUGCAAUCCUUUUCGUUUUCAUAAAUCUAUACUCCUUAUUUUCUAAAGCAUAUUUAUAGUUGUUUUCAUCUAAAUCUUUCUUUUUAUUUUCUUCUAUUGUCGUUAAUGCAAAUAUAAAAAGAGGGGAAAGGGUUUUCUUACCGGAUUCAGUGUCAACUUAUUCAUCUUUUGCUUCUCCAGUCAAAGGGUUAUCAGAUCCUUGGGGGUCUGAUUAAAAUCACGUCGAUGGUGGAGGUGCAUUCGGCGCCGAUGAAGCCUGCGGAUUGACUGAGAGGAAGAGGGGCUGGUGAAACAUUUUCAAAGAUUUUUGAGAGAGUCUGCCUAAUAGAUUUUUAGGGCAAACUUUAG